CUAGAGAGUACAAUGUCCUUGUUCCUUUGCAGGCCCGUGGUUUGGGGAAACCUCCAAUAGCCCAGCAGCAUCCCAGCGGUGCAGGGAAACCCACCAAAAUCCGGAGGCGAGAGGCCCGCCAGAACGAGGGGGAAAGGCUCCCACUUCAGGUAAGUGGAAAUGCCAACUGAGUGCCCCAUAUUUUAGGAAUGCUUCCUUCCCGUGUCCCCCCUCCCUCAUGCGCCAGACUGGUGCUAUCAUCUGGGAUCCAGGAGCUUGCUGGUUCCUCCGUUUUCUCUGCAGGGAGGGAGCCUUUCCCCAACGUUUACAUCGUACUGGCAAAAUCCCUGGAGGGACGUGGCGAACAUCAGGACCACGCCUCCAGGGAUGAGGCUCCAGCGCCUGCUCCUGGGACGAAGAACAACAGACCAUCACGGCG